CAUGUAGGCGGCAUGACAAGUCUGGUGUGAAAUAUCUCGGCUCAACCGAGAAAACGCACUGGAAACUGUCAAGCUUGAGUAUCGGAGGGGAAGCUAGAAUUCCUGGUGUAGGGGUGAAAUCUGUAGAUAUCAGGAAGAAUACCGGUGGCGAAGGCGAGCUUCUGGCCAGAUACUGACGCUGAGAUGCGAAAGCGUGGGGAGCGAACCGGAUUAGAUACCCCUGUAGUCC
rnacentral:rRNA from 1 species